CUGCUCUGUAUUGUGUUACAGGACAAGCCAAGGGGCAGCACUGCCAGGGUUUGCUUUAGCAGCUUGCUGGGCCACCAGAUGUAUCCAAAUACGUGGUUCUGAUACCUGAGCCUCAUUUUCCCAAGCUGGCUUUUGUAGGAGGGAGUAGAGUUGAAGGGACCUCUUGGGUCAUUUGUGAAAUCUGGGCUCUGGGACAAGCCCUGGUCAAGGUGUUUCAUGCUUCUGAGACUCAGAGCCUGCUCUCAUCCCCCAGAAAGAAGUCCUAACCCUGGGCUGCUCAGCUGCAGACACAGCCCUAAGGAGCUGUGCCAUGAACCCUACCAGCACUAUGGGAAGAUCUGGAUUGAUGAACCUGUAAAGCUCUGUCUUGUCCUUCCAGUUUAUUACUCAUCUGUGGCUUUUUUACCAGUUGUCUUUCAGCAGGGAGAAACUGAACUGAGAUGUGCAGCUACAAGGAAUUUCACCCUGCUCUUUCUCCAAGCCUGGAACAGCAAACUCACUACAGAGACCUUGGAGUGUGGCAAGAGGUUCAAAAUAAAGUCUCUGUAAAGGAAAGGCCAGAAAGCACUGCUCCAGGCCAUUGCAAAGGGUGAGCCAAAGGGCUUGGGUAUCAUCCAUGUGAAGAUUCACCAACAAAUGGGACAGUUACA
rnacentral:lncRNA from 1 species